UUGAGAUGCUGAGGGUGGGGCUGCUCAGAGGAUGGUCCUCCAGCACUGGAACCCCAGGAUGGGGGUCUAAGCACCCUGGCUCCUGUCUCUUUUGGGCAGCUGAUAAGAAGCUGGUCUCCCCUGCACCUGCUGUGGGCCUCAGUUUCCUACCUAUUACAGAGAACCCCUUGCCCUUCAGGGUGUGGUGCCCUCAUGGCAAAUUGUGAAGAUGCCCUAGUGGAGGAGAGCAUUCUGGAGCAUCUAGACUCUUCCAAAAAGGCUGUGGGCAUGAGCUUUCUCAGUGUGCAAAAGGAGGCAGAUAGGGGCAAAUUUCUAGUCAUUGAUUCAUUUAUUCAAUAAAAUGUUAAGACUGGGAAUCACUGGGAAGCCAGAAAAUACCAUGUGUCAGGAAGGAGUGAGAGCAUUAAGAACUGUUACGGCUGGUAUUGGAGCAGUCACUCUGGAAAAUGUGGAAGCUUUACUAGUGCCUAGUAAAAUGGAUGAGGUGCCCACUCUGUGACCCAGCCGUGCCACUCAUGUAACACCCACAUGUGCCCCUGGAGACACAGAGAAGAAGGUUCAUGGUAGUAUUAUUUGUAAUUGUUGAAAUGUGGGAGAAAACAGCUGUCCCACAACAGUGGGAUGGAUAACCGUGGCGUGUUUAUGCAACUAUAAAGCAAAACCUGAGGUCAAAUGAGCAGCUUCAGCUACUCACAGACCCAAUGAUGAGCAGAGGAGCAAGACUCACAGAAAUGUCGCGUCUCAUUUGUCUCAUCUACAUUAAAUCCAAAUGCAGUCAACACCAGGCUCUCUGCUUCAAGGUGCACCUGUAGGUGGUCAGGCCAGAAAGGAAGUGAGGCCAACAUCAGUACAGAAGGUGGGAUGGCAGCUGCCUCUAGCCGGAGGAAGACGGGUAUAUGUGAUCGCGGCAGCUGCAGGGCUGCUAAUGGGUUUCCUUUCCCGACCCGGGUGGUGGUUUGCACAGGUUCUUACUAUGCAGUCAUUCUUCAAAUCAAACAAAUACAUUUGUGCACUCUUCAGCAUGUAAGAUAUACUCACAAUUUAAAAAUAGGCAAACGUGACUUAUUCAGGGCCCUCAGCAGCGUGCAUGCUCUCCACUUUCCUGGGGACAGGGGACACCAGGGUGUGGUUGCCUCUCAAACCUGCUGUCUCUGUUGGUGAGUGGCAGUGCAGAGCCUGGGAGCCUCUGGAUCUGGCCCUGCCUGGAUGUCCUUGCCCUUUGCUAGGUGACUCAAUGCCUUGCCAGGCAGGGAGCAGGUCCUGGAGACCCGAUCUCCAUCCUUGGCCUCUGACUCUGCAGCUAUAAGCGAAUGUGACUAACCCAGCAGGACCCUGAGUCAGCCCUAGAGAGCCUGUCCCAAGAUGGGGGAAGGGUGGCCCUAGCAGAGGGGGUUGGCUGCCCACAAGGGCUUGCAGCCCUGGGGUUUCAAAGAUCAUUGUGUUGGGGGGUGGGCAGUGGCAGGGAUUAGGGAAUGCUUGGCCCCACCAGCCAGAGGUGAAAUGCCAGGUACACCCCUCCCACCCCCAGCCCCACGCCUUGCUGAGCCCUUGCUUUCUCUGCCUUUAGCAGGGCUGUGACCUUGGGAUCAGUAGCAUCUGCUCAGCUCCAGCUGGUUCAGAUUUCAGAUAUUUCCUCCUUCCCUCCAUCUCAAACCAGAGUCAAACUGUCAGGCCAACCUGUGAUUAUCCCAAGCCACAGAUAAUCCAAACAUCAGAGAACCCAGAAAUCAAUUCUCUUUAGUUUUGGUGUGUGUAUCUGGACUGUCUUUGGAUAAAGGCAUUCCUGGGGCCCUGGGAAUUCAACAGAAGCCUGAUGAGAGCAUCACUACCUCAUAAAGGCUGGAAAUCUGUCUGUUCUUCUGAGCCACCCCAUCAUAUCCUCCCAACCUCCUGUCUCAGGCCAGCUUGAGCAGAGGUGCUUUGAUCUCUGAAUGGGUUGAGGGAUGAGUGGUAAGGGAGGGGUGAGCAGAACAAAGGGCUAAGCCCAGCACUAGGAUCCUUGACAGACUUCAGGCCAGCCACGGAGUGGGCUGCUUCCAAGAAUCCCACAUCCACUGUCCACCAUGGUCACAAGAAGCCUUCCUUGCUGUGGGAAAUAUUCAGAGCACAGGGUCCCAGGACACUGCACCAAGGCCACUGAAGUCCCUCUUUACCAAUCCUCAGGAGUACCCAGCUGAAGUCAGCUUCAAUUAGAGCAGCGAAGCUCCUCUAAUUCUCCAACCAUAGGGUAGAGCCAGGCGAGGUCCAGCCCAUCAAAGCCAUGGGUGCGUAGAAAUGGCGGCACCGACUUGAUGAAAGUCCGGCGACUCUGGGUGUUGGAGGCGAUCUUGGAAAAUCUAGGAUCAAAAUCACCCCCGCAGUGUGCUCGGCACAGAUAUGCUAGCUGCUUUGGCCCUCUGGUGGGGUUUCCAGGGCCUGCAGAGCUGGGAGCCUGCGCCACACAGCUUGAUUGGAACAGGGGCCACCUCCAGGCCUGUGUGGGCUUUAGGGCCAGACAUUCCUGGUUUCUGAGCCCGCUCUAUCACUUACUAGCCAGCCACUGUGAAAGGUUAUACCUGAAACUCAGUUUCAUCAUCUUUAAAAUGGGGACAAUUAUAACAGCUCACCGUGCUGUUGUAAGGAGACAUGGAAUCAUGGGGAGACAGGGUGCAGGACACAGAGAGAGCAUCCAGCAUGUGGGUGCCAAUGAUGGCCAUACCUACCCCCAUUUCAAGCCCUGCUACAACCCCACCUAACCCAAAGACUCCUCCCAGGCUCCCCCCACUCCUCAGUUUCCCCAGUGGUUUCCAUCUCUCUCUUUCCAACCCUAAGGGCAGUAGCCCCAGAAGUCCCAUAUUUUAGAGCCUGUGAGGUAGUAAAUACAGCAUUGGCAGGGAAUCAGGGGAUCCACUGUGAACUUGCUGUGUGACUCUUGGCAAGUCCCUCUCUCUCUCUGGGUUCUGCUUUUUUUGCUACACAUGAGGCAGGCCCCUAACGACCAGUUAGGCCUUGUACCUAACCAGUCUGGAGCCCUUGGACAGUGGGUGGGGGAGAUCCAAGCUCCUCAUGCCUCUGCCAUCUUCCUCUGCAGUCCUGCCCCUGGGGACAGGGUCCUACCUUUGAGAGCCAAAGUUCCAUCCUCCAACUGACAGGAGGGUCUUCAGGUUGGGGUUCCUGUGGGGCACAGGGAGGUGGGGAGGGCAGGCAUGGAAUGAGGUUGUCAGGACACUGGGUGGCCCCAUGUCUGGGAGGCCAUAGUAGGUUUCCCGCUUUGGGUGAAGCUGGGUUAGGCUGUGGAUAUCCUCCCAUAGGAUAACAUGGGAAUCCCAUAGAGAUUCAUAGAGGUGGAUCUCUGAGGGGUCACAGGCUUCAUGGGAGUUACUCUGAGGUCUGCUGUCCAUUUUGUUUUCCCCAGUGGAGAAGACAAGGUAUGGCAGAGCAGAGUCAUGGACAUUUUCCUGCUCUCUGGAGGGCACCUUAGAGGGAGGAGAGGGUUCCCCUUUCCCAGAAGGGCUCAGUUGUGCUUCCAUCUACAGUCUAUCGUCACCCCGAAUACUGCCCAGCACCUACUGUCAUCACCUCUGCCCAUUUAAGCCAAACCCCUCUCAUUCUCCAACCAUAGGUGGGAGUGCCUCUAACUUGUAACCCACCCAGAAUGGCAGCCCUGCGCUCCCUCAGCGUGUCCCCACACUGCGGCACAAUAUCACAACGGACAAGGAAGUUCUUCCUCUCCUCUAAUUCUAAUUUCUCCUGCUGCAAACAAUGUGGGCGUUACUCAUCCAAGCAGCUACUGGGCUCUACUGUACUAGCGGCUCCCACGGGGUGUUAGUCAAAGCCUUCACUGAACCAGGACCUUUUAAAGUUUCUCAUUUUGAGAAUUUUCACACAUACCGAAGGGUAUAGUAUAAUAAACAUCCAUAUACUCCUCACUCCAGUUUAACAAAUGUGAAUAUUUCCAAGCCAUGGGAAGCACAGAAGAAACUGGAAAAGUGUUUCCCGUAGCUAAGACCUCCUCCACAUGGAGGCCUGUGCCCUCGCCACGCCUCUGGACUUCAAGUGGGGGUGGCGGAAUUACUUACAGCACUGGAGCAGCAGCAGGACCACGAAGCCUGAAGAGAAACCCAGGGUCAGACACCUGCAAAUGCAUCCUACCCUUCCACCCUGCUCCCUCCCCAAAGCAACUGAGACCCACGCCCCCCCAACUCCCACUCCACCCCCUCCUGGUUGCAGCCUUAGUCCCUCCCCUGGUUCUGCUUCCCCUCCCCAUCUCCCAACUCCCUUAGUCACCCACCCAGCAGGUAGAUGGGUCUGCGGGCUCUCUGGGCCUGAAAACCCACAACUCUGAUGGAUUGACCUCAGCCAGCCCAGAUACCUGUUU